rnacentral:miRNA from 1 species
CAAGUCUUAGUCCAGGUUUGAG